rnacentral:ncRNA from 1 species
CGAUCCGGUGAAGCGCGACAUCAACUACCCAAAGAAACAGGAGAAAGAACCCCACCCGACCCACCCCCGGCGGCCACCUGACGCACCCCAGGGGCUCGUCACCCACACGGGUGAGGUUUUCCAACUCGGCUCGCUUUCGGGCCGGUUGUCCGGCAUAUGCUCACGCCAGCACCACCCCACCGGACAUACGUCGGCCCUCGACCGGGAGUGCAAUCCCAACCGAGGGCCUGACCACCAAGGAAGAAAGCCGCUUCCCG